rnacentral:rRNA from 1 species
GAGCGAAAAGAAAAUAGUUCAGCACUAAGUCACAUUACUGUAACGGUGAUUGUGAAAUGCAGUGUAUGGAAUAUCUAAAUUCUAGUAUGAAAAAUUAAUGAUUUAAGUCCUUCUUAAAUGAGGCCAUUUACCCAAAGAGGGUGCCAGGCCCGUAUAACAUUAAUGAUUACUAGAAGAUAUUUCCAAAGAGUCGUGUUGCUUGAUAGUGCAGCACUAAGCGGGUGGUAAACUCCAUCUAAAACUAAAUAUUACCAUGAGACCGAUAGUAAACAAGUACCGUGAGGGAAAGUUGAAAAGAACUCUGAAUAGAGAGUUAAAUAGUACGUGAAACUGCUUAGAGGUUAAGCCCGAUGAACCUGAAUAUCCAUUAUAAGGAAUUCAUCAUCAAAAUAAUUAUAUAUAAACAAUAUAAUUGUAAUGGUGUGCAUUUUCUUUAUAUAAGGACAUUGUAAUCUAUUAAUAUAUAACAAUUUAUUAUAAGAUCAAUUGCAAGAGUUUAUUUUAAUUAUAUUUUUAAUAUAUAUUUGGUAAAUGCUUUUGAUUUAAUAAAGUGUUGAUAGAUUUAAUCAUAUGUAUGAUGCAAAAAUUCCAUUGGAAUUUUAUAAUAAAAUUUAUUAUAAGCAUUUAUACGAUUAACAAUGCGAAAGAUUCAGGAUACCUUCGGGACCCGUCUUGAAACACGGACCAAGGAGUCUAACAUAUGUGCAAGCUUUUGGGUAUAUUAUUAACAAAACCCAUAAGCACAAUUAACUUAACUAUAUUAUGGGAUGAAUUUAUAAAUCUUAUUUUAUAAGUUUAUUAAUGCAAUCCCGGGGCGUUCUAUACAGUUAUGUAUAAUAAUAUUAUUUUUAAUAGCAUUAUUUAUACCUCUAACUAGAGCGUACCUUGAGCAUAUAUGCUGUGACCCGAAAGAUGGUGAACUAUACUUGAUCAGGUUGAAGUCAGGGGAAACCCUGAUGGAAGACCGAAACAGUUCUGACGUGCAAAUCGAUUGUCAGAAUUGAGUAUAGGGGCGAAAGACCAAUCGAACCAUCUAGUAGC